rnacentral:rRNA from 1 species
UACGAAGGGGGCUAGCGUUGUUCGGAAUUACUGGGCGUAAAGGGCGCGUAGGCGGUACUUCAAGUCAGGCGUGAAAGCCCCGGGCUCAACCUGGGAACCGCGCUUGAGACUGGAGAACUAGAGUUCGGGAGAGGAUGGUGGAAUUCCCAGUGUAGAGGUGAAAUGCGUAGAUAUCGAGAGGAACACCUGCGGCGAAGGCGGGUUGCUGGGCUGACACUGACGCUGACAGCGCGAAAGCUAGGGGAGCGAACGGG